rnacentral:lncRNA from 1 species
UGACAAAAAAGUGGCUUUAUGGAAUGAAGUAGAUGGUCAGACAAAGUUGAUCACAGCUGCCAAUUUUUGUCAGAACGGCAAAUAUGCAGUAAUUGGGACAUAUGAUGGUAGAUGUAUUUUCUAUGAUACAGAGCACUUGAAAUACCAUACACAAAUACAUGUACGAUCUACUAGAGGGCGGAACAAGGUUGGAAGAAAAAUUACUGGGAUUGAACCUUUACCUGGGGAAAAUAAGAUAUUGGUAACCUCAAAUGACUCCAGAAUCAGACUGUAUGAUCUGAGAGACCUAUCACUGUCCAUGAAGUAUAAGGGUUAUGUCAAUAGCAGCAGCCAGAUCAAAGCAAGUUUCAGCCAUGACUUUACUUACCUCGUUAGCGGUUCAGAAGAUAAAUAUGUUUAUAUCUGGAGUACUUACCAUGACCUAAGCAAGUUUACUUCAGUCAGGAGAGAUCGUAAUGACUUCUGGGAAGGUAUUAAAGCACAUAAUGCAGUUGUUACGUCAGCCAUCUUUGCUCCAAACCCAAGUUUGAUGCUAUCCUUGGAUGUGCAGUCUGAAAAAUUGGAAGGGAUUGAUAAAUAUGAAGAUGCUGAAGUUUUGGAUAACACAUCUACUGGUA